rnacentral:rRNA from 1 species
UACAGAGGGUGCGAGCGUUAAUCGGAAUUACUGGGCGUAAAGUGUGCGCAGGCGGCCGCGCAAGUCGAGUGUGAAAGCCCCGAGCUUAACUUGGGAAUUGCGCUCGAAACUACGUGGCUGGAGUGUGGCAGAGGAAGGUGGAAUUCCAGGUGUAGCGGUGAAAUGCGUAGAGAUCUGGAGGAACACCGAUGGCGAAGGCAGCCUUCUGGGCCAACACUGACGCUCAUGCACGAAAGCGUGGGGAGCAAACAGG